CACGUAGUUAGCCGGGGCUUCUUAGUCAGGUACCGUCAUCAUCUUCCCUGCUGAUAGAGCUUUACAUACCGAAAUACUUCUUCACUCACGCGGCGUCGCUGCAUCAGAGUUUCCUCCAUUGUGCAAUAUCCCCCACUGCUGCCUCCCGUAGGAGUUUCGGGCCGUGUCUCAGUCCCAAUGUGGCCGUCCGACCUCUCAGUCCGGCUACCGAUCGUUGCUUUGGUAGGCUCUUACCCUGCCAACUGGCUAAUCGGACGCGGGCCCAUCCUAUACCUGAUUACUCAUUUCCCGUCCGGUCAUGCGACCAGAACGACUUAUGCGGUCUUACCAGCCGUUUCCAGCUGCUAUCCCCCUGUAUAGGGCAGGUUGCCCACGCGUUACUCACCCGUCCGCCACUAAGAAUUACUGACUUCCAUCCGAAAACUUCCGUCUGUAAUCUCCGUUCGACUUGCAUGUGUUAGGCACGCCGCCAGCGUUCAUCCUGAGCCAGGAUCAAACUCUACG
rnacentral:rRNA from 1 species